CUACGGGGGGGCUCCAGUGGGGAAUAUUGCACAAUGGGCGCAAGCCUGAUGCAGCAACGCCGCGUGAGGGAUGAAGGCCUUCGGGUUGUAAACCUCUUUUAGCAGGGAAGAAGCGAAAGUGACGGUACCUGCAGAAAAAGCACCGGCUAACUACGUGCCAGCAGCCGCGGUAAUACGUAGGGUGCAAGCGUUGUCCGGAAUUAUUGGGCGUAAAGAGCUCGUAGGCGGUUUGUCACGUCUGCUGUGAAAAUCCAAGGCUCAACCUUGGACUUGCAGUGGGUACGGGCAGGCUAGAGUGCGGUAGGGGAGAUGGGAAUUCCUGGUGUAGCGGUGGAAUGCGCAGAUAUCAGGAGGAACACCAAUGGCGAAGGCACAUCUCUGGGCCGUAACUGACGCUGAGGAGCGAAAGCGUGGGGAGCGAGCAGGAUUAGAUACCCUCGUAGUC
rnacentral:rRNA from 1 species